rnacentral:rRNA from 1 species
GAUGAACGCUGGCGGCGUGCCUAAUACAUGCAAGUCGAGCGAACAGAUAAGGAGCUUGCUCCUUUGACGUUAGCGGCGGACGGGUGAGUAAAACGUGGGUAACCUACCUAUAAGACUGGGGUAACUUCGGGAAACCGGAGCUAAUACCGGAUAACAUUUGGAACCGCAUGGUUCUAAAGUGAAAGAUGGUUUUGCUAUCACUUAUAGAUGGACCCGCGCCGUAUUAGCUAGUUGGUAAGGUAACGGCUUACCAAGGCGACGAUACGUAGCCGACCUGAGAGGGUGAUCGGCCACACUGGAACUGAGACACGGUCCAGACUCCUACGGGAGGCAGCAGUAGGGAAUCUUCCGCAAUGGGCGAAAGCCUGACGGAGCAACGCCGCGUGAGUGAUGAAGGGUUUCGGCUCGUAAAACUCUGUUAUUAGGGAAGAACAAAUGUGUAAGUAACUGUGCACGUCUUGACGGUACCUAAUCAGAAAGCCACGGCUAACUACGUG